GAUUUGCACAUAGCAUUUCUUUUGGGAUUAAUUUAAAUAUUCAUUUUUACCUAAUUCUUUGAGUGUUGUUCUAAGUGUACAACAUAUACGUCUGCAGUUCCCAAAUCAGUACCUCACGCAAAAUGCUCCUAUUUACAUUAUGAGCAUCCUGCCCCAUAUCUUUGAUUAGACACUGCUUUCUUUGGUCUUGCAUUAAUGUUAUCCUGGUUUCAGUAUGAAAAUAGUGUUAAUCCUAAGCACGGAUCAUCUAUUCAGCUGCAUUAGUUCUAUGUCUUCAGUGUCUGGUGUUAGUGUGAAUCUGGAGGUGAGAACACGGACCUCUAUAGAGGUGAUGGUGAAAUGCCUUCUCUUUUUCUUGUAGAAGAGAACUAAAGGUACCUACAGCUUGAUGCAAACUUGAAACUCCUCAUUUCUUACAGCCGUUUUGGAAUAUGUGGCGGGGAUUCUGAAAGCUGGUUCUGGAGCAGGUACAACAGCAGUAAUCAAAACCUGGCCAGAUCCCAUCAUAACUCUUCAGUCCUGGUGAAUAUUGAAUUGUGGAGAGCUUAGCUGCAUAGGCUGGCUCUGCUGCACAUUUUCAUGUUGUUUUUAUAAUAAAUGAGUUGUCAG
ensembl:lncRNA